rnacentral:rRNA from 1 species
UACGUAGGGUGCAAGCGUUGUCCGGAAUUAUUGGGCGGAAAGAGCUCGUAGGCGGUCUGUCGCGUCUGCUGGGAAAACUCGGGGCUUAACCCCGGGCCUGCAGUGGGUACGGGCAGACUAGAGUGCGGUAGGGGAGACUGGAAUUCCUGGUGUAGCGGUGAAAUGCGCAGAUAUCAGGAGGAACACCGGUGGCGAAGGCGGGUCUCUGGGCCGUAACUGACGCUGAGGAGCGAAAGCAUGGGGAGCGAACAGG